rnacentral:lncRNA from 1 species
UAACAACAAGUUUCCUUUGCAACAGGGCCAUAACAUCAACACUCUUGGUAAUUGCAUUGGUACCAAAACUUAUCUGUGACAAUAUCUUGAACAUUAAUGCCUUUAAGAGAAAUGCCCUUAAAAAUACCUUUAGCAAGCAUUUCCUUAGCAAACACGCUCCUAGCAACAGAGAGUAAGUUUUGUAAGGGCAUGUGAAUACAAAGGCAGAGACUGGAGUGAUGCCAAGAAAUGUGAAAGAUUUCCAGGAACCAUCAGAAGCAAGGAAAAACGCAUGGAAAAGAUUCAGAGUGCUCAGAAGGAAGCAACCCUACCACCACCUGAUUUGGACUUCUAAGCUCCAGAACUGUAAGAGAAAUUUCUUUUGUUUUAAGCCACCUCGUUUGUGGUACUUUGAUAUGGCAGCCCUAGGAAACUAAUACAAUUCUCUUAACAAAAAGGCAACAAUUUCCUUAGCAAUAAUAAACUUAGAAAUAAUGCCUUCUCAACAAUGACUUUGCCAACAGUGGCCAUAGCAGCCACACCCUCAGCAAAAGCAACUUAGUGCAGAUUUCUUAGCAAAGCACGCCAAAACACACUAACAAACAUACUAAGAAAACACAAAACACACUAAUACUAACAAAGAAAGUGCCUUUCUAAAAACUGCCUAUCAACAAUCUUAUCAACACAUUUCAUAGCAAAAAUUUCCUUAGCACCUUUGCCCCUAGCAAUGUUGCCUUUAGCAACAGUUUUCGUGGCAGUAGUGACCAUCCAACCUUGAUUUAGCAAAUGCAUCCUUAGCAAAAACUUUCUUGCAACACCACCCUUAAUACUAACACCUUUAAGAGCGAUGUCUUUAGCAUAAGGGCCCUCCCAACAAUAUCAUUAGCAAAAACUUGACAAAAUGUGCUUAGCAACCGCACUCUUUGAAAAAG